GGGAAUGAUUGAGUUGCUGGUGCUCUCCGCAGCCUUCAAAGCUGUUGUCCCCAUUAAUUUGGGGAGCUGGGUUCGAUUCCCAGGCGUUCCCGCCA
rnacentral:tRNA from 1 species